rnacentral:rRNA from 1 species
UACAGAGGGUGCAAGCGUUGUUCGGAAUUACUGGGCGUAAAGCGCGUGUAGGUGGCGAUGUAAGUCGGGUGUGAAAUCCCUCAGCUUAACUGAGGAAGUGCACUCGAUACUGUGUCGCUUGAGUGUUGGAGGGGAUGGCGGAAUUCCCGGUGUAGAGGUGAAAUUCGUAGAUAUCGGGAGGAACACCUGUGGCGAAGGCGGCCAUCUGGACAACUACUGACACUGAGACGCGAAAGCGUGGGGAGCAAACGGG